rnacentral:lncRNA from 1 species
CUCAUUAUAUCUUUCUUCAAAAUAGCCAUCAUACCUACCUAUUAAGGCAUUUCCAUAGCCUUUCCGAGAUACAUUGCCAUGCAACAUCCACCAUCUCAUGACUUGAUCUUCAUGUCAUACAUGCUUUUGCUUCAUCAUAGAGCCGCAUGAUAGUUGGGCUUUGCCCCAAUUAUUGCUACGUGACACGCUAGUAUCAUUGCAUAUCCUACUACACUAGCAGAUGCAUACAUUUGCAUACAUCAUGAUAGUUUUCACUUGUCUUUUAUGUUGAGUAAUUCUUAUGAAGUGUGAUGAUCUUCUCUUUAUUCAUGUAAAACAUAGAGUGUUGCCCUUAAGUGAGGAAAAGAUCCCAAAGAGGACAAACAAAAGAUCCCAAAGAGGACAAAUGAGAGAUAAAAAGAAAGAGCCAAAG